UUCAUCAUAAACCAAAAUUCAUAAAAUCACAGAGGAUACAAAUCUAGUUGGAACUAAACAUAAUUAUUACUACUAUGUUUCUAGAGUUUCAAUUCAACUGAAGAAAAAAAAAUGUACUGAGAAUGAUAUCCUUCUCAAUUCAUCAUAAACCAAAAUUCAUAAUUUGGGGAGGAGAAGAUGUGAAACGGAAAUGGUGGAAGAGAGUGAAAUCCGUGAGUGAGAGAUGAGUGUGGGGAGGUGUAACUGCCUAGAAAAAAAAAGAGAGUAAAAAUAGGAUAUUUAAAUUAAUUAAAAAAUUCUAAAUGAAUUUGGGGAGGUGGAGGAAGCAUGGUGUGGAGGUGAAGGGAGCAACACCUAUAAAUUUGUGGGAGUACUGCAGUGAGUAUUGGUCCAAGCUAAGGCCCAUUUUUUUUGUUCAAAUCAUAUUAGGGUUUCUCAUUUUCUUUAUCCAGAAAUGAAAAGACAACUUAGGUCUCUUCUUCAUUCCCAUAUGCGGUCAGCCCUACUCUUCUCUUUACCGGCACCGCUGCGCCUCACCAUGGCCGGCCGAAAGUGAAAACGAAAACCUACCACCGUGAUCGCGUCGCCUCUAAUCGGAAUCCCCACUCGCCGUCGACGAUGCCGCCAACGUUGCCGCCGGUUAUUAUCUUCCUCAGACACGAAAGUCUCAAAACUUUUCUUCUUCCCUCAUCCAAACCCGUGAAGGCAACUCCUUCUUCUUUCCUCUCUGAACUCACAGAAACGCUAGAAAAGGGGUAAAACACAAUAUGAACCGAUUAAUCGAUUCGAGUGAGUGAUGGAACAAUGGAUAUUGAAGAACAAAUGGUGGAGAGGCUUCUAAUUGAAAGAAAAAAAAAGAACAACCGGUGAAGAUGACUCUAACCGGUGAGAAGAUGGAUUUAAACGGUGAAAAGGGAUUUUUUAUCGGUGAAAAUAGAGGAAAAAUGGCAGAUCUGUGUGGAGAUGAAGAAAGGAAAACUACCUUCGAAGAUGCGAAUGAAGGAGGUCAUGGCAGAUCUGUGUUGGAGAGAAAAGGAAAUUUGUGUUGGAGAGAAAAGGAAAAUGGAUGUGUUUGAAUGUAACUCAGAAAAAAAAAAUGUGAGAUGAAGGUGGUAUUAAGGAACAGAGGGGAUUAAUUAAAAUAAAAUUUUAAGUUA
rnacentral:lncRNA from 1 species